GAUGAACGCUGGCGGCGUGCCUAAUACAUGCAAGUAGAACGCUGAAGCUUGGUGCUUGCACCGAGCGGAUGAGUUGCGAACGGGUGAGUAACGCGUAGGUAACCUGCCUCUUAGCGGGGGAUAACUAUUGGAAACGAUAGCUAAUACCGCAUAAAAGUCGAUAUCGCAUGAUAUUGAUUUGAAAGGUGCAAUUGCAUCACUAAGAGAUGGACCUGCGUUGUAUUAGCUAGUUGGUGAGGUAACGGCUCACCAAGGCGACGAUACAUAGCCGACCUGAGAGGGUGAUCGGCCACACUGGGACUGAGACACGGCCCAGACUCCUACGGGAGGCAGCAGUAGGGAAUCUUCGGCAAUGGGGGCAACCCUGACCGAGCAACGCCGCGUGAGUGAAGAAGGUUUUCGGAUCGUAAAGCUCUGUUGUAAGAGAAGAACGAGUGGAGAGGGAAAGUUCACACUGUGACGGUAACU
rnacentral:rRNA from 1 species